UGCAUGUCGCUUGUAUGUGCGCCUUUCUGGUUUCAAGACAGUUGAGAAAAGGCACUUAUCUACAGUGAUUGACACGCUUUAAAUGGGUGGGUCGUCCCUGGUGUCGGACAGUCAGAGUAGUUUUUGGUUUUGUUAGUCUUAUCAUUUUAGUAGGCAAUCAAUUCGGACUACCAACUAGGCCCCGGGGUGUAAUUCAAACAAGUGUUGGGACAUCUAUUUGAGCCUGGCUGCUAUAACCAGGAUUACAAACUUGGAACGUUUACAGUAUGAAGAUGGUAGGAAUCCUGAUGCAGUAGAUGUGACUAAGGGUCUGGGAACUUGGAAGCUUUGCGAUUGGACCUGGACCAGGAAGGCCUUUUGGGGGUUGCAAAUCUGCCCCCCACCCCCCACCCUUCUAAUCUACCAUAGGGUGGGAGGAAAAGGCCUCUUGCUCAGCCCUGUCAGGAAUGGGACGGAUUACAUUUAUACUCUGGAUUGGGUAGUCACCCCCCCCCCCCCCCCCCACCCCACCCUUUUUAAAAAAAUAUAAAACUUAUCGUAACCAGUCUGUGGCAUGUCUGUGCUGUGGAAAUAUUUUUGAGCAACCAAAAUGGUAUGCCAGUUGGGAUCAGCUGCUAAAUUUAUAUGCUGAGACUGUUUUAAUGAAGCACCUUUUUGGAAUGUGAGAAUUACAAUGGUAAAUAUAGCCCUAGUAAAUCUGGUUAAUCUGUUUUUUGUUGAAUGGCUUAAGUACUUUCCAGCGGGUAUGAGGGUUUAAACCAGUGUUGUGAAAUUUCCAUGCACGGCUAAAUGGUUAUGAUGUGAAACCUUAGCAGUCUGAAUUUAGUGUCACUGUUUGGGUGACACUAAAGUGAUCGUGUUUCCCAUCCUAAUAACCAUUACUUGAACAUUUGCUUGUUUUGCUGAAGAAAAUCAGUGUGGGGUCAGUUUGGGAAAUCCCUUGGGAUUUUGGAACUAUGUAGUCUAAAAGUGUUCUAGCCUUUUGCCUUUGCUCAAGUUUAACUCCUUUUAAAGGAACAAUGUGUGGAAAUGUGUAGAAAACUGUAAAAGCAGAUUUUAUUGAUUAUUUUUGGGUAAUUUUGGAUUUGACAAUUGCUCCCAACCAGGUAUAUUGGAAU